AUGGAGAGCCAGGUCACAUCUUCAUUUGCAGCAGCAGCAGCAGCAUGGUGGCACUUUUCACUGUGUCACCCUGGCUCCUGCUCGUGGCAGGGCUGUGCUGUCUCUGGGCUCCAGGGAGGGUUGUUGCCACACCAACAGCACACACAGCUCCCCAGGGCUCCUGCUCCCCAUCAGCAGCCGCAGCAGCCUCGGUGGAUUUGGGGAGUCUCUCAGGAGGGGCUGACAGGUUGUCCUGGGGCUGAGCACUGGGGUAGAGCACAGAGCUGCACAGGGGUGUCCACCCUUGGGGGAGCAGCUCUGACAGUCCCUCCUUCUGCCAGGUCUGGCUGCAGCUGCUGGUGGAUGAGGAUGGCUGGACACUGGUGGCUCGUCCCCCCAACUCGAGGCUUGCUGCUCUGCAUCUUGGCUCUUCAACUCUGUCUUCAGGACUCUCUUGCCACAGCAGUGCACAACACAGCUGCCAGUACCAUGGUGACGGCCACCAAGAACACCUCAGCAGCCACCAAGAACACCUUGGUAGGGGUGGUGACCACCAAGAAAGCCUCAUUGGUGGCUGUGACCACCAAGAACACUUCAGUGGCCACACAGAAUGCUGCAGUGGUGGUGGUCACCAAGAACACCUCGGUGAUAGCCAUGGCCACCAAGAACACCUCAGCGGCCACCAAGAACACCUCAGUGAUGGCCAUGGCCACUAAGAACAUCUCAGUGGCCACCAAUAACACCUCAGUGUUAGUCAAGGCCACCAAGAAUGCAUUGGCAGCUACCAAGAACACCCCAGUGAUGGCCAUGACCACCAAGAAUGCCUCAGCAGCCACCAAGAAUGGCUUGGUGGUGGUGGCAUCUACCAAGGAAGCCUCGGCAGCCACCAAGAACACCUCAGAGGUGAUGGUCACCAACAAUGCCUCUCUGGUGGCCACCAACACCUCUGUGAAGGGAGCAGAAGAGACAAUGCAAACGUGCCAGAGCUUCCAGUGCUCCGGAGAGAGGUGUUACCAGGACGCAGCCCAUACCAACAGAACAACCACCUGCCAUAAUGAGACCUACUGCGAGCUUUAUCGUUUCUCCAGCACAAACUACACAGCCAGGUGCAGCGGUGGGUGCAGCGUGGAGCCGUGCAGCACCAACAGCAGUGUGAGCAGGCAGCAGUGUGCCCUGGAGUGCUGUGCUGGCCCUCUCUGCCUGCAGCUCAACGCCAGCGCCUACGGUGACCUGCCACCCACCACCACCAGCACCGUGCCACUGACAACCACCACCACCACCCCCCAGCCUCCCCCCCAAAACGGCAAAGUGUGUGCAGCAUUUUCCUGUCAUGGGGACGAGUGUUUCAAAGACAAGAAGACCUUCACUAGGUGCAUUUUGGGGCAGGACUUCUGUGAGAUGAAGAAGAUGGGCUUGAAUUACAUGGCAGGAUGUAGCAAAGCCUGCAAGGCUGCCAAACCAGUCUGUGCUGGUGGGAUGAAGGCUGCCUGCUACCUGGAGUGCUGCCCAGCCACCCCAAAAGCCAGCUGUCUGAGACUGGAUGGCAAAGUUCACGUCAAUAGUGCUGGGCAGGUGACACUGGCCCCGCUCCUGGAGAUCAUGGCAUGUGGGGUGGUCCUUCUCCUGAAUUACUGCGUCUCCACUUCCCUCUGGGGUUAGAUGAUCAGGUGGCUUCACAGCCUCUCCUGUAGCAUCAGUAGGAUCCCACCGCUCUCUGACUUCAGCCAAGGUUGCUAGCAAAUGCCCUCUGUGCUGUCUCUGUCCCUUCAACAGCGCGUCUGGGGCCCUUUGCAUCUGCUCAUGGGCAGCUGCCCACCCUUGGGGGUCACUCUGCUUGCCCUACACAGGACCCUGCUGUUGAUCCUAAAGUCCCCUUAAGCUGCACUCUGAAUCCCACACCAUCCCAGGAUGGGUGAGUCCUGGCAUGUCAAUAAAUUUUAAGUACUUGAAAACA
rnacentral:lncRNA from 1 species